CCUACGGGAGGCAGCAGUGGGGAAUAUUGGGCAAUGGGCGCAAGCCUGACCCAGCAACGCCGCGUGAAGGAAGAAGGCUUUCGGGUUGUAAACUUCUUUUAAGAGGGAAGAGCAGAAGACGGUACCUCUUGAAUAAGCCACGGCUAACUACGUGCCAGCAGCCGGGGUAAUCCGUAGGUGGCAAGCGUUAUCCGGAUUCAUUGGGUUUAAAGGGUGCGCAGGCGGGCGUUUAAGCCGGCGGUGAAAUCGCGGGGCUCAACCCCGCCGAGCCGUCGGAACUGGGGGCCUUGAGUGCGGCGGAGGCAUGCGGAAUGCGCGGUGUAGCGGUGAAAUGCAUAGAUAUCGCGCAGAACCCCGAUUGCGAAGGCAGCGUGCCGUGCCGCCACUGACGCUGAGGCACGAAAGCGCGGGGAUCGAACAGGAUUAGAUACCCCAGUAGUC
rnacentral:rRNA from 1 species